AUAUUUAUCUUUCAGUCCAGUGUUUCCUCGAUUAUCUGCUAUUUUCGUGGUCAGUCGGAGGGCGGCAACGCGCGCGGUUGGACGCCUGCCGAGACACAUACUUUGUGUUCAUUUUCAUUUGCGACUAUACCUGGUUCGUCUAUGAAACGUGUUAAAUAAUUAAAUUGUUAACAGACAAGGAUUUAAAAACAUACACCUUCAUUCAUCAGUUUUGUUUGUUGGUAACAGUUACCGAAAACCGAAAGGAAAAUGCCCAGAAUUUUAAGAAGCACGUCUAUAUUAAAUGAAGUUUUGAAUCGCAGAUAGGCCCAAAGAUAAUGGUUUACAACCAUAGAUAACAGGAAUAGAGAUUUAUUUUGUUGUUACGCGUACUCCUUCCUCAUAGCUCUUCCAGUUAAGUUUAUCCGUUAAAUAUAUUAAAUAAUAAAUAGUCAAUACCGCUAAACAGUGCCUCUAAAGUUCACUAAAUUCUAACAAAGCUAUUAUAAAAAUAAAUUACAUCAAUAACAUAUCUUACGACAAUAUUC